GGGAGUACACGAGCGGCGAACGGGUGAGUAACACGUGAGCAACCUGCCCUUCUCAUCGGAAUAAGCGUUGGAAACGACGUCUAAUGCCGAAUACGACCUCAGAAGGCAUCUUCAGAGGUGGAAAGCUCCGGCGGAGAAGGAUGGGCUCGCGGCCUAUCAGCUUGUUGGUGGGGUAACGGCCCACCAAGGCGACGACGGGUAGCCGGCCUGAGAGGGUGACCGGCCACACUGGGACUGAGACACGGCCCAGACUCCUACGGGAGGCAGCAGUGGGGAAUAUUGGACAAUGGGCGAAAGCCUGAUCCAGCAACGCCGCGUGAGGGAUGACGGCCUUCGGGUUGUAAACCUCUUUCAGCACCGACGAAGCGAAAGUGACGGUAGGUGCAGAAGAAGGACCGGCCAACUACGUGCCAGCAGCCGCGGUAAUACGUAGGGUCCGAGCGUUGUCCGGAAUUAUUGGGCGUAAAGGGCUCGUAGGCGGUUUGUCGCGUCGGGAGUGAAAACUCAGGGCUCAACCCUGAGCGUGCUUCCGAUACGGGCAGACUAGAGGUAUGCAGGGGAGAACGGAAUUCCUGGUGUAGCGGUGGAAUGCGCAGAUAU
rnacentral:rRNA from 1 species